CUCGAUGUUGUGCACUUUAUUCCUCUGCUGGUUGCAAAGGAGGUAUGCUGAAGAAGGUGGCUGUGUUCCCCAAUGAACUACUGGAAACUUUAUGAAGGUGGACUGUUAGGGGAAGCGGAGAUGCAUGCUAUGGCCAGCAGGUGGCAGUGUGAGCACGUGGCACGGCCGACAGAGGGCUCCCAUUACUAAAAGGACCAGGACCUGGGAGCUGGUUCUGCACAUCUCUGAAUUCAGAAAUUGCUCUCCUGGGAUGCUGUAAGGUGGCUCCCGUGAGGAGAUAUUGGAGUUCGUGGAGUCCAGGGACAUGAAGAAAUGGAGUUUUCUAACAGUUGUCAACAAUGAUUAACUACCAUUUCUCAAAUGCCUAUGAUAGGCUAGCUGCUGUACUAGGUCAUUUCUCGCACCUUCUUCUCCACCUGGAACCAGGUGCUGUUGUUGUUCAAUGACUUGGUGCUGCAUGGAGCACAGGCGGAGCUGAUGGAGUCCUCGCCUUGAGUGGCGGUGGAGUGGUACCGCAGCGUCAUGGUGGUUGGAAAUACCUCUUCAGGCUUGCCUUCUGUAAAUCGUUCAGUACAGAAACCUUAUUGCAAAGGUGGAAGAACUGCUCAGCGAACCCUGUAAGUCUGAUACUCCCCAACCGGAAGAAACGCUUUUGAAGAUAUGAACCUAAUCUGCUGAGGAGCCUAGCCCAGCGGGAUCUGCAGACUGAAACAAAGCUGCUCAGUUGUGCCCAGACUAGAUA